rnacentral:lncRNA from 1 species
GUGGAGACGGGCAAGGUAAAAAAAAAAAAAAACUGCACCAGAAAGAUGGUCUUAGUUUUGUAAAAGAUUAGAAAAAUUAGAAAGAAACUAAGUCAAGAAGACAGACUAAACACUAGCGUAUUUCUUUCAGAAGCCCUUUUAAGAGAUAAGGAAAGUCAAUAUAAGUAAAAAGACUGACUCCACAGGGGCACUACUAAAAAGAGAAAAGGCGAAAUCUUGGAGGAUAGAAAGCAGACAGGAAACAGCAGAAGAUGACAGAAGUGAAGGUGAAAUUAAGAGUCAAGAGACUUUCGGAUAACAAGCGGAGGAGGCCAAACCUUAACAGGCAAGCAAUGGGCUAGGCUGAAAUAGGUUUUGGAAAGAGGUGGAGCCAGGACUAAUUGUUCCUUCUGGCAUCCCAGCCGUAGUGGGUGAAGGAACUGCGGUGGGGGUGGGUGUGUUUGGCAGGAAGGGGAGGCCUCUCUACUGGCAGGAAGCUGCGCUACGGGAAGAGGGAGGAGACUGCGGCGACGGCAGCGACUAGUGGAAGCCCNNNNNNNNNNNNNNNNNNNNNNNNNNNNNAAGCCCAAGGUGGCAGAAGGGCUGCCGCCACCAAGAGGAAGACGGAGGGCCCACAAGCUUAGAACCAGGGAAACAGCCUCUCAUACCCAGCCCCGCCGCCCUCCUAGACCCUCUCGCCUAAGAAUUCUCCCCUCUCAACUCUGGCAAGCACACAAUCUGCUGGAUAGUAGCCCGCUGAUCCACCUUCGCAACAGGCUUUUAGCAGAGGCAGCAGCAAGGUGUCCGAUUUGGGCACGUGAGGCUCGCGAACCCCUGCGGUGGACGCCCAACAGGGCAAGGCCAUUGGCAUGAAG